AUUGAACGCUGGCGGCAGGCUUAACACAUGCAAGUCGAGCGCCCCGCAAGGGGAGUGGCAGACGGGUGAGUAACGCGUGGGAAUCUACCCAGUUCUACGGAAUAACCCAGGGAAACUUGGACUAAUACCGUAUACGCCCUACGGGGGAAAGAUUUAUCGGAAUUGGAUGAGCCCGCGUUGGAUUAGCUAGUUGGUGGGGUAAUGGCCUACCAAGGCGACGAUCCAUAGCUGGUCUGAGAGGAUGAUCAGCCACACUGGGACUGAGACACGGCCCAGACUCCUACGGGAGGCAGCAGUGGGGAAUAUUGGACAAUGGGCGCAAGCCUGAUCCAGCCAUGCCGCGUGAGUGAUGAAGGCCUUAGGGUUGUAAAGCUCCUUCAGUGGGGAAGAUAAUGACGGUACCCACAGAAGAAGCCCCGGCUAACUUCGUGCCAGCAGCCGCCGUAAUAC
rnacentral:rRNA from 1 species